GGAGAGGUAUCGAAGUGGUCAUAACGGGGCUGACUCGAAAUCAGUUUGCGCGAGAGCGCACAAGGGUUCGAAUCCCUUCCUCUCCG
rnacentral:tRNA from 1 species